AACACGUGGAUAAUCUACCCGACAGUCAGGGAUAACAUUUCGAAAGGAAUGCUAAUACCUGAUAAGCCUACGCCCUCUUCGGAGGAAGUAGGAAAAGGUGGGAACCUUCGGGCCUGCCGUUGUCGGAUGAGUCCGCGGCCCAUUAGCUAGUUGGUAGGGUAAUGGCCCACCAAGGCUACGAUGGGUAGCUGGUCUGAGAGGAUGAUCAGCCACACUGGAACUGAGACACGGUCCAG
rnacentral:rRNA from 1 species